UUGACAGAAAACUACAAUUGAAACUUUAAAUUCAUCAGGAAACCAUUUUAUCAGAAUUAUCCAGAUGAAUUAUCAUUAAUAGUAAAACCAACAUAAUUGAUCAUCACCAGAUGUCAGGCAUGAUGCCAGGUGCUCUACACGUUAUUUCUCUUCCUUACAAUAGUUCUUCAAAGUAGGUAUUAUUUUUUUGUCUCCAGUUUGCAAUUGAGAAAGGUUAACUUUUCUAAGGUCGUAUAGCUAAUAAAGCUGAGAUUUUAAACCUGGGUCUUUUUUCUACAGUACAUUGCCUCUACAAAAGGCAUCUUGUUUUAAUGCUGCCAAAAUCAAUUUGUUUAGAUUGUCUUCGCAGUUUUACCGACUUAGAAGAACUUGAUGAGACAGAGUUAUAUAUGUGCCAUAAAUGCAAAAAGAAACAAAAGUCCACAAAAAAGUUUUGGAUUCAAAAACUACCCAAGGUGCUAUGCUUACAUUUGAAAAGAUUUCAUUGGACAGCAUAUUUAAGAAAUAAAGUUGAUACAUACGUAGAAUUUCCACUGAGAGGCCUAGACAUGAAAUGCUACUUACUAGAGCCUGAGAACAGUGGCCCGGAGAGCUGCCUGUAUGACCUCGCCGCUGUGGUGGUGCACCAUGGUUCCGGGGUUGGUUCUGGACAUUACACAGCAUACGCAACUCACGAAGGCCGCUGGUUCCACUUCAAUGACAGUACUGUAACACUGACUGACGAGGAGACUGUGGUGAAGGCGAAGGCCUACAUCCUUUUCUACGUGGAACACCAGGCCAAAGCUGGAUCGGAUAAACUUUAAUACCUCCUCCAAAUCAUCAUUCACCAACCAUACCAGAGAAACAUUUCCAGUUUUCCACAAAUACUUGAUACAAGAUUUAAUUUCAUUAUGCACUUUUCAAUUUCCUAUUUUGGGUUUAGUUUUGUCAAUGGUAGUGACUUACUGAACAUGGGCACCAACUAAUUUUGUUGUUGUUCU
rnacentral:sRNA from 1 species